rnacentral:rRNA from 1 species
CCUACGGGAGGCAGCAGUGGGGAAUAUUGCACAAUGGGGGAAACCCUGAUGCAGCGACGCCGCGUGAGUGAAGACGUACUUCGUUAUGUAAAGCUCUAUCAGCAGGGAAGAAAAUGACGGUACCUGAGUAAGAAGCUCCGGCUAACUACGUGCCAGCAGCCGCGGUAAUACGUAGGGGGCAAGCGUUAUCCGGAUUUACUGGGUGUAAAGGGGACGUAGGCGGCAGGGCAAGUCUGGAGUGAAAGGCGGGGGCUCAACCCCCGGACUGCUCUGGAAACUGUACGGCUGGAGUGCAGGAGAGGUAAGUGGAAUUCGUAGUGUAGCGGUGAAAUGCGUAGAUAUUAGGAAGAACACCGGUGGCGAAGGCAGCUUACUGGACUGUAACUGACGUUGAGGCUCGAAAGCGUGGGGAGCAAACAGGAUUAGAUACCCGAGUAGUC